AUGGCAGAAGCUAUUGCAGUGCAUUUUGGCUUGAAUCUUGCCCGAACUGCUGGUUGUAACAAGAUUGAAUUGAACUUGGACAGUUUGGAGGCCAUUUCAGCACUAAAAGAUGGCUUUUCAUCAUCGGUGGCCAGCGCCAUAUCCGACGACUGUUACUACAUGUCUUUAGACUUCACCCAUAUUUUGUUUGAACAUUGUUAUAGAAAGAACAACCUAGUAGCCCAUGAAUUAGCUAGGAUAGCAAAAUUUUCUCCUCCAAGUGUACGGUUGGAUGAUCCCCCAGGGAUGUUGUCCCGCUGA
rnacentral:rRNA from 1 species